GCUUUUUCGAAAACUUCUGCACUGGCUCGUUCUAGAAUCCCUUCAGGCGUUACUCACCUAGUGUUGUGAGUAACGUUGAGGAAUUUUAGAACAGGCCUAAUUCAACUAGUCAUUCUCUUCUU
rnacentral:precursor_RNA from 14 species